AGAACACAUCAACAGCAGAAAAUGCGGGUGUUGUAUAAAGCAUUUUCCAGAAGAGAUGGGUCUUUGUGAGGGAACACCAACUGAAAGGCUAACAACAUUUCCCUUUUAUAAUAAUAAGGUUGCUGAUUGAAUUUUAAAGCUGUGCCCUAAGCUGAUUCAGCAACAACCAAGAAAGCUGAGCCAAGAUGGAUUUAAGCUAACACGUCCAAUGCCUUGAAGACAGGAAAUAUGGCUCCAGUAGGGGAAGCAGUAAACAAGGAGAGGGCUAAAAAUCUGGUGAAACAAGAAAAUAUAAAACCUGCUCAAGUUGCUGGAGAGGGUCAGCUUGAUUCCAUUUUCUGUGUAUGUGCUCUCCAGUGACCUGGCAUGACCCUUCUCGCUGAAAUGGAUUGGGACACUUGGAUGGAGACUCUGUCCAUUGUUAUGUUACAGCCAUGGCCAAUGCUACUUUGCCAGACUACUCAGACCAUUAGCUACCAACAGUGGAAGUAAACAGUGUCUGUGCUUAUUCCUGCACUUCCUCAAAAAAGUCUAUUCCCUGAAAACUCAUUCUGCCAGACUUCAGAUGAACCUCAAACAAGUUGGGAUCUCUGUUACCAGUAACUGUACCACAUCAGAGGAGUCGCAAUAUCCUUUUUUACUCCAGUAAAGAGCAACUUCAG